rnacentral:rRNA from 1 species
CGUAGGGUGCGAGCGUUAAUCGGAAUUACUGGGCGUAAAGCGUGCGCAGGCGGUUUGUUAAGAUAGGCGUGAAAUCCCCGGGCUCAACCUGGGAACUGCGCUUAUGACUGGCAAGCUAGAGUACGGCAGAGGGGGUGGAAUUCCACGUGUAGCAGUGAAAUGCGUAGAGAUGUGGAGGAACACCAAUGGCGAAGGCAGCCCCCUCGGGUCGAUACUGACGCUCAUGCACGAAAGCGUGGGUAGCAAACAGGAUUAGAUACCCUGGUAGUCCACGCCCUAAACGAUGUCAACUAGGUGUUGGGAGGGUAAAACCUUUUAGUACCGGAGCUAACGCGUGAAGUCGACCGCCUGGGGAGUACGGCCGCAAGGUUA